CCUACGGGAGGCAGCAGUGAGGAAUAUUGGUCAAUGGACGAAAGUCUGAACCAGCCAUGCCGCGUGCAGGAUGACGGCUCUAUGAGUUGUAAACUGCUUUUGUAUUAGGGUAAACACCCCUACGUGUAGGGUCUUGAAAGUAUAAUACGAAUACGGAUCGGCUAAAUCUGUGCCAGCAGCCGCGGUAAUACGGAGGAUCCAGGCGUUAUCAGGUGUUAUUGGGUAUAAAGGGUGCGUAGGCGGUAUGUCAAGACAAGGGUGAAAUCCCCGCGCUCAACAUGGGAACUGCCUUUGAAACUGGCAAACUGGAGUGUGUGAGAGGAUAGUGGAAUUCCAGGUGUAGGAGUGAAAUCCGUAGAUAUCAGGAGGAACAUCAGUGGCGAAGGCGACUAUCUGGCACAUAACUGACGCUGAGGAGCGAAAGCGUAGGUAGCAAACAGGAUUAGAUACCCGUGUAGUC
rnacentral:rRNA from 1 species